GCAUCUGGACUAGAUGCCCGAUCCACCUCAACUGGCUCCUUGUGAAGAAGCGGUUCUACUCCAAGCUCUCUCUGGGUGACCGAGCUCCUCACCCUUUCUCUAAGGAAGCGAACAGCCACCCUACAGAGGAAGCUCAUCUCAGCCACUUGUAUUCUGGGCGUUGUUCUUUCGGUCAUGACCAUAGGAAGUAACACGUUGUCAGAGGCUCAGCGGCCAUCAGACUGCACAUCCUGGAGGAUGAGGGCGCGUGAGGGAAUCCAGAGGAAGAAGGGCAGAGCUCAGCAGUCUCCAUGAUUCAUCAAACACAUCAAUUCUCUUUCAUGCCUUCAGACCUCAGCUGAGCACGGAAAACAUCCACUCGAGUCUGCAGGAAGAUGCCGGCAUUUCAAAGUAUGCUUAAAGUUGAAAAACCAAAAGACUUUUCCGAAGAGGAUGGUGUUUCCCAGAGAAAUUCAACCCUGUGAUCAUGGGAGCAGUCGGGACUCUCCAGCAGAGAAAUGACUGUCAGCCAGGAUGAGGGAGUGACUUUCUAUCGCCACUGUAAACACAUUAACUGAAGUGAUUCACAUCAAGAUUUGAAUGCAUUAAACAAGAGAUUUUACAAUG